rnacentral:lncRNA from 1 species
UGCCUUUUAACCUUGGCCAAAGUCCUGUUACAUUUUAUCUGGUGGCACAGCUUGGCCACAGAGAGAACUGUGAAACUAUGUAUUCAGGUGGUGCUGUCUACGUGCUGAGUUCUACAGCCUGAAUGGUCUUUCCACCAUGGAGUCAGCUGUGCUAAAGCCUGGGGCCUGUUACAGUAACUAUAGUCUAUCUUGCCUGAGUCUAUAUUCAGCACCACCGUGUGUUAGCCUCAUAGUAACUGAUCAAACCUGCCACGGUUGUCCUGUUUUGUGCUGACCAGCGUCUGAGAGAAGGUGAGGGACUCACCCUUCGCGUGAUUAAUCAAGCCUCUGGACUUCAGACACAUCUUAUAUUCUGUCUCCACUCCUGGCCUACUUCUGUUGACUUCAGACUAGGUUUGAUCAGCAUGUUUGGCCAAGUUAAGUCAAUUCAUACCUAAAUAAAGCAACUUGUUUG